rnacentral:rRNA from 1 species
AGUGAACGCUGGCGGCAGGCCUAAUACAUGCAAGUCGAACGGCAGCACAGUGGAGCUUGCUCCAUGGGUGGCGAGUGGCGGACGGGUGAGGAAUACAUGGGAAUCUGCCCAGUCGUGGGGGAUAACGUAGGGAAACUUACGCUAAUACCGCAUGCGCCCUUCGGGGAAAGCCGGGGACCGUAAGGCCUGGCGCGAUUGGAUGAGCCCAUGUCGGAUUAGCUAGUUGGCGGGGUAAAGGCCCACCAAGGCGACGAUCCGUAGCUGGUCUGAGAGGAUGAUCAGCCACACUGGAACUGAGACACGGUCCAGACUCCUACGGGAGGCAGCAGUAGGGAAUAUUGGACAAUGGGCGCAAGCCUGAUCCAGCCAUGCCGCGUGAGUGAAGAAGGCCCUCGGGUUGUAAAGCUCUUUGUCCGGAAAGAAAAGCGCCGGGUUAAUACCCUGGUGUCCUGACGGUACCGGAAGAAUAAGCACCGGCUAACUUCGUGCCAGCAGCCGCG